UCCUUCGAAGAGUCGAGUUGUUUGGGAAUGCAGCUCAAAAUGGGUGGUAAAUUUCAUCUAAAGCUAAAUAUUGGCGGGAGACCGAUAGCGCACAAGUAGAGUGAUCGAAAGAUGAAAGGCACUUUGAAAAGAGAGUUAAACAGUACGUGAAAUUGUUGAAAGGGAAGCGCUUGCAAUCAGACUCGCCUUCAGUUGAUCAGCCUUCCUUCUGGUUGGUGCACUCUGCUGUUGGCGGGCCAGCAUCAGUUGGGGCGGUGGGAUAAAGGCGGCAGGAAUGUGGCUCGCUUCGGUGAGUGUUAUAGCCUGCUGUGUCAUGCCACCAGUCCCGACUGAGGUCCGCGGUUCGCCUAGGAUGCUGGCUUAAUGGUUGU
rnacentral:rRNA from 1 species